UGGGGAAUAUUGGACAAUGGAGGCAACUCUGAUCCAGCAAUUCUGUGUGUGUGAAGAAGGUUUUAGGACUGUAAAACACUUUUAGUAGGGAAGAAAGAAAUGACGGUACCUACAGAAGAAGCGACGGCUAAAUACGUGCCAGCAGCCGCGGUAAUACGUAUGGGGCGAGCGUAGUCCGGAAUUAUUGGGCGUAAAGGGUACGUAGGCGGUUUUUUAAGUCAGGUGUGAAAGCGUGAGGCUUAACCUCAUUAAGCACUUGAAACUGAUAGACUUGAGUGAAGGAGAGGAAAGUGGAAUUCCUAGUGUAGCGGUGAAAUGCGUAGAUAUUAGGAGGAAUACCGGUGGCGAAGGCGACUUUCUGGACUUUUACUGACGCUCAGGUACGAAAGCGUGGGGAGCAAACAGG
rnacentral:rRNA from 1 species